UACGAAGGGGGCUAGCGUUGCUCGGAAUCACUGGGCGUAAAGGGUGCGUAGGCGGGUCUUUAAGUCAGGGGUGAAAUCCUGGAGCUCAACUCCAGAACUGCCUUUGAUACUGAAGAUCUUGAGUGCGGGAGAGGUGAGUGGAACUGCGAGUGUAGAGGUGAAAUUCGUAGAUAUUCGCAAGAACACCAGUGGCGAAGGCGGCUCACUGGCCCGGUACUGACGCUGAGGCACGAAAGCGUGGGGAGCAAACAGG
rnacentral:rRNA from 1 species